UAAAGCGUAAAAGAGCGUAGAGUGAAUGCCUUGGCAUUGGGAGCCGAUGAAGGACGUGGUUAACUGCGAAAAGCUACGGGGAGUCGUAAGCAGACAUUGAUCCGUAGAUGUCCGAAUGGAGCAAUCCGCAUGGAGUUAGUCCAUGCAUCCAUAAGUGAAUUCAUAGCUUAUGGAGGGGAACCGCCUGAACUGAAACAUCUAAGUAGGGCGAGGAAGAGAAAUCAAACGAGAUUUCGUAAGUAGUGGCGAGCGAACGCGAAAGAGGCUAAACCAAGAGAAGAAAUUCUUUUGGGGUUACGGACUGCGAUAUGUAUCUGAGGACUUAGCAGAAUGGUAUGGGAAAGCCAACCAGAGAAUGUGAUAGUCAUGUAUGCGAAAAAGAAUCAGAGCUAGCAGGAUCCAAAGUACCGCGGGACACGAGGAAUCCCGUGGGAAGUCGGGGGGACCACCCUCCAAGCCUAAAUACUACCUGAUGACCGAUAGAGGAGCAGUACCGUGAGGGAAAGGUGAAAAGAACCCCGGGAGGGGAGUGAAAUAGUACCUGAAACCUUGUGCUUACAAGCAGUCACAGCCCGUUAACGGGUGGUGGCGUACUUUUUGUAGAACGGUCCGGCGAGUUAUAGUCACUAGCGAGCUUAAGGUAUUCAGUACCGAAGGCGUAGGGAAACCAAGUCUUAAUAGGGCGUAUGAAGUUAGUGGCCAUAGACCCGAAACCAUGUGACCUAGCCAUGAGCAGGAUGAAGUGGAGGUAAAGCUCCAUGGAGGUCCGAACGCACGUUCGUUGCAAUGACCGGCGAUGACUUGUGGCUAGCGGUGAAAUUCCAAUCGAACUUGGAGAUAGCUGGUUCUCCCCGAAAUAGCUUUAGGGCUAGCGUUGGGAAUGAGUUUAGCGGAGGUAAAGCACUGAAUGAGCUAGGGGGCGCAAGCUUACUGAACUCUAUCAAACUAAGAAUGCCGCAUAAAUGCUUCCCAGCAGUCAGACUGCGAGUAAUAAAAUCCGUGGUCAAAAGGGUAACAGCCCAGACCCACAGCUAAGGUCCCCAAUACAUGCUAAGUGGAAAACGAUGUGAGAUUGCAGAAACAACCAGGAUGUUGGCUUAGAGGCAGCCACUCGUUCAAAGAGUGCGUAAUAGCUCACUGGUCGAGUGAUCUUGCGCGGAAAAUUUAACGGGGCUAAGCAUGUAACCGAAGCUUGGGAUUCACACGAAAGUGUGAGUGGUAGGGGAGCGUCGAAUACGGGGUGAAGUCGCACCGGAAGGAGCGGUGGACUGUAUUCGAGUGAGAAUGCCGGAAUGAGUAGCGAGAAUUAUGUGGGAAUCAUAAUGGCCGAAAAUCUAAGGUUUCUUGGGGAAGGUUCGUCCGCCCAAGGUAAGUCGGGAGCUAAGCUCAGGCCGAGAGGCGUAGGCGAUGCACAUACGGUAGAAAUUCCGUAACCACCGAACUUUAAGCAUGAGGGACACUUUGAGAUAGCGGGACCCGGGCGUUGGUAGACCCGGGCGAAAGGGACCGAAAUAUAGUAGGGAAGUCCGCGAUGCUCGGAGGCGAGAAAAGCUCAUGUGUAUACUAAGGUGCCCGUACCGCAAACCGACACAGGUAGAUGAGGAGAGAAUCCUAAGGCCAACGGGAGAAGGGUUGUUAAGGAACUCGGCAAAUUGACCCCGUAACUUCGGAAGAAGGGGAGCCCCCUACGGGGGGUCGCAGAGAAAUGGCCCAAGCAACUGUUUACCAAAAACACAGGUCUAUGCUAAAUCGAAAGAUGACGUAUAUGGGCUGACGCCUGCCCGGUGCCGGAAGGUUAAGAGGAGAUGUCAGGCAACGAAGCAUUGAAUUUAAGCCCCGGUAAACGGCGGCCGUAACUAUAACGGUCCUAAGGUAGCGAAAUUCCUUGUCAGGUAAGUUCUGACCCGCACGAAUGG
rnacentral:rRNA from 1 species